rnacentral:rRNA from 1 species
AUUGAACGCUGGCGGAAUGCUUUACACAUGCAAGUCGAACGGCAGCACGGGAACUUGCUCCUGGUGGCGAGUGGCGAACGGGUGAGUAAUGCGUCGGAACGUACCGAGUAAUGGGGGAUAACGCAGCGAAAGCUGUGCUAAUACCGCAUACGCCCUGAGGGGGAAAGUGGGGGAUCGCAAGACCUCACGUUAUUCGAGCGGCCGACGUCUGAUUAGCUAGUUGGUGGGGUAAAGCCUACCAAGGCGACGAUCAGUAGCGGGUCUGAGAGGAUGAUCCGCCACACUGGAACUGAGACACGGUCCAGACUCCUACGGGAGGCAGCAGUGGGGAAUUUUGGACAAUGGGGGCAACCCUGAUCCAGCCAUUCCGCGUGAGUGAAGAAGGCCUCGGUGUAAAGCUCUUCUAGCUGG